rnacentral:rRNA from 1 species
UACGUAGGGUGCAAGCGUUGUCCGGAUUUAUUGGGCGUAAAGAGCUCGUAGGUGGCGCAUCGCGUCGACUAGUGAAAACCGGGGGCUUAACCUCCGGCUUGCUGUCGGUACGGGUGUGCUUGAGUGUGGUAGGGGAGACUGGAAUUCUUGGUGUAGCGGUGAAAUGCGCAGAUAUCAGGAGGAACACCGGUGGCGAAGGCGGGUCUCUGGGCCAUUACUGACGCUGAGGAGCGAAAGCGUGGGGAGCGAACAGG